rnacentral:sRNA from 1 species
UAUAAAUUCCGCCACUUCCCCAUAAUCC